rnacentral:siRNA from 1 species
UCGAUCUCGCCGCUUCUCAACGC